GAUGAACGCUGGCGGCGUGCCUAAUACAUGCAAGUCGAGCGAACGGACGAGAAGCUUGCUUCUCUGAUGUUAGCGGCGGACGGGUGAGUAACACGUGGAUAACCUACCUAUAAGACUGGGAUAACUUCGGGAAACCGGAGCUAAUACCGGAUAAUAUUUUGAACCGCAUGGUUCAAAAGUGAAAGACGGUCUUGCUGUCACUUAUAGAUGGAUCCGCGCUGCAUUAGCUAGUUGGUAAGGUAACGGCUUACCAAGGCAACGAUGCAUAGCCGACCUGAGAGGGUGAUCGGCCACACUGGAACUGAGACACGGUCCAGACUCCUACGGGAGGCAGCAGUAGGGAAUCUUCCGCAAUGGGCGAAAGCCUGACGGAGCAACGCCGCGUGAGUGAUGAAGGUCUUCGGAUCGUAAAACUCUGUUAUUAGGGAAGAACAUAUGUGUAAGUAACUGUGCACAUCUUGACGGUACCUAAUCAGAAAGCCACGGCUAACUACGUGCCAGCAGCCGCGGUAAUACGUAGGUGGCAAGCGUUACCCGGAAUUAUUGGGCGUAAAGCGCGCGUAGGCGGUUUUUUAAGUCUGAUGUGAAAGCCCACGGCUCAACCGUGGAGGGUCAUUGGAAACUGGAAAACUUGAGUGCAGAAGAGGAAAGUGGAAUUCCAUGUGUAGCGGUGAAAUGCGCAGAGAUAUGGAGGAACACCAGUGGCGAAGGCGACUUUCUGGUCUGUAACUGACGCUGAUGUGCGAAAGCGUGGGGAUCAAACAGGAUUAGAUACCCUGGUAGUCCACGCCGUAAACGAUGAGUGCUAAGUGUUAGGGGGUUUCCGCCCCUUAGUGCUGCAGCUAACGCAUUAAGCACUCCGCCUGGGGAGUACGACCGCAAGGUUGAAACUCAAAGGAAUUGACGGGGACCCGCACAAGCGGUGGAGCAUGUGGUUUAAUUCGAAGCAACGCGAAGAACCUUACCAAAUCUUGACAUCCUUUGACAACUCUAGAGAUAGAGCUUUCCCCUUCGGGGGACAAAGUGACAGGUGGUGCAUGGUUGUCGUCAGCUCGUGUCGUGAGAUGUUGGGUUAAGUCCCGCAACGAGCGCAACCCUUAAGCUUAGUUGCCAUCAUUAAGUUGGGCACUCUAAGUUGACUGCCGGUGACAAACCGGAGGAAGGUGGGGAUGACGUCAAAUCAUCAUGCCCCUUAUGAUUUGGGCUACACACGUGCUACAAUGGACGAUACAAAGGGCAGCGAAACCGUGAGGUCAAGCAAAUCCCAUAAAGUUGUUCUCAGUUCGGAUUGUAGUCUGCAACUCGACUACAUGAAGCUGGAAUCGCUAGUAAUCGUAGAUCAGCAUGCUACGGUGAAUACGUUCCCGGGUCU
rnacentral:rRNA from 1 species